rnacentral:rRNA from 1 species
AUUGAAACGCUGGCGGCAGGCUUAACACAUGCAAGUCGAGCGGGGGAAGGUAGCUUGCUACUGGACCUAGCGGCGGACGGGUGAGUAAUGCUUAGGAAUCUGCCUAUUAGUGGGGGACAACAUCUCGAAAGGGAUGCUAAUACCGCAUACGUCCUACGGGAGAAAGCAGGGGAUCUUCGGACCUUGCGCUAAAAGAUGAGCCUAAGUCGGAUUGGCUAGUUGGUGGGGUAAAGGCCUACCAAGGCGACGAUCUGUAGCGGGUCUGAGAGGAUGAUCCGCCACACUGGGACUGAGACACGGCCCAGACUCCUACGGGAGGCAGCAGUGGGGAAUAUUGGACAAUGGGGGGAACCCUGAUCCAGCCAUGCCGCGUGUGUGAAGAAGGCCUUAUGGUUGUAAAGCACUUUAAGCGAGGAGGAGGCCACUUUAGUUAAUACCUAGAGAUAGUGGACGUUACUCGCAGAAUAAGCACCGGCUAACUCUGUGCCAGCCGCCGCGGUAAUAC